AUUGAACGCUGGCGGCAUGCUUUACACAUGCAAGUCGAACGGUAACAGGCCGCAAGGUGCUGACGAGUGGCGCACGGGUGCGUAAUGCAUCGGAACGUGCCCAGUCGUGGGGGAUAACUACUCGAAAGAGUAGCUAAUACCGCAUACGAUCUAUGGAUGAAAGCGGGGGACCGUAAGGCCUCGCGCGAUUGGAGCGGCCGAUGUCAGAUUAGGUAGUUGGUGGGGUAAAGGCUCACCAAGCCAACGAUCUGUAGCUGGUCUGAGAGGACGACCAGCCACACUGGGACUGAGACACGGCCCAGACUCCUACGGGAGGCAGCAGUGGGGAAUUUUGGACAAAGGGCGCAAGCCUGAUCCAGCAAUGCCGCGUGCAGGAAGAAGGCCUUCGGGUUGUAAACUGCCUUUGUACGGAACGAAACGGCUCUGGUUAAUACCCGGGGCUAAUGACGGUACCGUAAGAAUAAGCACCGGCUAACUACGUG
rnacentral:rRNA from 1 species